CCAGACUCCUACGGGAGGCAGCAGUGGGGAAUAUUGCACAAUGGGGGGAAACCCUGAUGCAGCGACGCCGCGUGAGUGAAGAAGUAUUUCGGUAUGUAAAGCUCUAUCAGCAGGGAAGAAAAUGACGGUACCUGAUUAAGAAGCCCCGGCUAACUACGUGCCAGCAGCCGCGGUAAUACGUAGGGGGCAAGCGUUAUCCGGAUUUACUGGGUGUAAAGGGGGCGCAGACGGCGAUGCAAGCCAGGAGUGAAAGCCCGGGGCCCAACCCCGGGACUGCUCUUGGAACUGCGUGGCUGGAGUGCAGGAGGGGCAGGCGGAAUUCCUGGUGUAGCGGUGAAAUGCGUAGAUAUCAGGAGGAACACCGGUGGCGAAGGCGGCCUGCUGGACUGCAACUGACGUUGAGGCCCGAAAGCGUGGGGAGCAAACAGGAUUAGAUACCCCCGUAUGA
rnacentral:rRNA from 1 species